UACGUAGGCGGCGAGCGUUGUUCGGAGUUACUGGGCGUAAAGGGUGUGUAGGCGGUUGUUUAAGUUUGGUGUGAAAUCUCCCGGCUCAACUGGGAGGGUGCGCCGAAUACUGAAUGACUUGGAGUGCGGGAGAGGAAAGUGGAAUUCCUGGUGUAGCGGUGAAAUGCGUAGAUAUCUGGAGGAACACCGGUGGCGAAGGCGGCAUCCUGGACCGGUAUUGACGCUGAGGCGCGAAAGCCAGGGGAGCAAACGGG
rnacentral:rRNA from 1 species